CUCGCAACCACGUCCUCCUCUCCGCCUCGUUUGCAGGUCGCCAGAGCCCAAGCCCGAGUCCUGCACAGCCUCAGGUUCCUCAACGUCACGCAGCGAGCACCCUCUGCCGGUCCCCAGUCUGCGGUCACCCACGCGUUCUGUCCACUGUCUCCUCCCAACGCCAGAGGCCACCGGGCUCCAUCCGGGGCACUGCAGGAAGAGCAGGAUGAGGCUCCGCUGGGCGCGGCUCCGCAGUGCCGGCACACACGCAUGCACACACAUGCACGCUCACACACCAAGAACCCACGCCCACGUAGCUCCAGCUAGAGUCCCAGGGAAGCGAGGCAAGAGGCCUGUACGGGCACAGCUCAGGGAUGCUGACACACGACACAUGCGUGCUCACAUACAUGCACACGCAUGCGCGCCAAAAAACGAAGCCAGCGUCGCUCCAUCUAGAGUAACACACAGAAAGCAGAGUAAGGCACUGCUCCUGUGGUACUUACACAUACCUGUGCACACGCACACACGCCGAAAACCGGAGCCAGCCAUUUCUUUCUUUUGAUCCAGCCUCAGACACCUUCAAGAGUCACCUGAGAAACCAUGGAAGCCUUUCAGGACAAAGUGUCCAGAGCUUCAGCCAGAAUGGCGGCCCCAAAACCCCUCCUCACAAAGCAGCCAACUUACGGGACACUCAUCAUGGCAGAGAGAGGAGAACAGACAUGAGAUUCCACUGUCACUCUCGGCUCAGAGCUACACGGUCCGGGACUGAAACUGUAGCACCAGCGUAGAAGUGGCCAGGACACGAGAGCAGCCCACCGUCACGGCCACGGGGCCAUGAGAGCAGCCCACCGUCACGGCCAGGCGCAGCUGCAACAGCCGAGAAGUGAGCCAUGGCCUCGGAACACGUCGGGACGCUGUGUGAGGUCAUGAGAGCUCAUGGAGAAUCCGGCUGGAGUGUGAACUGCGGUUGCCGUCGAAGCCGGCUUCCCCAGAAUGUCUGAGCUGACACCUGAAGGCCGAGUGACUCCCCAGGGAGACAGGUGAGAGGGAGCGGGCGGAGGGCAGCUCUGGACCAAAGAGAAGGCAUGGUGAGGCUGGGCCAGCAGCCGGGCUGCACAGGCCUUGCGUGGCUGGGGCAUUGAAAACCUGUGCUGUGGCUCCAAGAACAGUGGAAAACCAGGGAGGAGCUGCAGGCCUGGGGAGAGAGGAGGAGCCGGUAGACAGGACCGCCAGGAGGGGCUCCCUCUUAAACCACCCCCACCGCGCAGCCAUCGUGCAGAGCACGGGCUUAGGAGUCCAGGGUCGGCUGUGGGCGGCCAGCGUGAAGGCUCGCAUCCAGGCACUGCCACGA